UAUAAUGGGUCAGCGACUUAUAUUCUGUAGCAAGGUUAACCGUAUAGGGGAGCCGAAGGGAAACCGAGUCUUAACUGGGCGUUAAGUUGCAGGGUAUAGACCCGAAACCCGGUGAUCUAGCCAUGGGCAGGUUGAAGGUUGGGUAACACUAACUGGAGGACCGAACCGACUAAUGUUGAAAAAUUAGCGGAUGACCUGUGGCUGGGGGUGAAAGGCCAAUCAAACCGGGAGAUAGCUGGUUCUCCCCGAAAGCUAUUUAGGUAGCGCCUCGUGAACUCAUCUUCGGGGGUAGAGCACUGUUUCGGCUAGGGGGCCAUCCCGGCUUACCAACCCGAUGCAAACUACGAAUACCGAAGAAUGUUAUCACGGGAGACACACGGCGGGUGCUAACGUCCGUCGUGAAGAGGGAAACAACCCAGACCGCCAGCUAAGGUCCCAAAGUCAUGGUUAAGUGGGAAACGAUGUGGGAAGGCCCAGACAGCCAGGAUGUUGGCUUAGAAGCAGCCAUCAUUUAAAGAAAGCGUAAUAGCUCACUGGUCGAGUCGGCCUGCGCGGAAGAUGUAACGGGGCUAAACCAUGCACCGAAGCUGCGGCAGCGACACUAUGUGUUGUUGGGUAGGGGAGCGUUCUGUAAGCCGUUGAAGGUGGCCUGU
rnacentral:rRNA from 1 species